rnacentral:tmRNA from 1 species
GGGGACGACAGGCUUCGACGCGGUCGGUUCGCGAGGAUGGUGGCGAGUCGAGGUUCCGGGCGGCCUCGUAAAACACCCGGAAAACCAUAAGUGCGGACUCUCACGAGUACGCCCUCGCCGUUUAGCAACUAGCUAAAUCGUGAGGUCUCGGCCCCCGCUCGCCUGCGGCUGGGAAGACCGGGAUCAGAAAGCAGGCUCACCCGGCGAGGUCCGCCUUCGCCGAACCGGGGAAGUCAAAGAAGGCUGGUCUCCCGCAACCCGGCCGGCGAGGCGCGCGGGAGAUGAGAUCAGAGCGCCGGCUACGCUCGUAGAAGCCAUCCUCACGCGAUCGUGGACGUGGGUUCGAUUCCCACCGUCUCCACUU